rnacentral:misc_RNA from 1 species
GAUGAAGAACGCAGCGAAACGCGAUAAGUAAUGCGAAUUGCAGAAUUCAGUGAGUCAUCGAAUCUUUGAACGCACAUUGCGCCCUGUGGUAUUCCGCAGGGCAUGCCUGUUCGAGCGUCAUUUCAACCCUCAAGCCCCGCUUGGUGUUGGGCCCCGCCCGCUGUGGCCGGCCCUAAAGACAGUGGCGGCGCCGCCUGGCCCUCAGCGUAGUACAUCUCUCGCUCCAGGGUCCGGUGGCCGCCUGCCAGAACCCCCCAACUCUGUGGUUGACCUCGGAUCAGGUAGGGAUACCCGCUGAACUUAAGCAUAUCAAUAAGCGGAGGA